rnacentral:rRNA from 1 species
GAUGAACGCUGGCGGCGUGCCUAAUACAUGCAAGUCGAGCGAACAGACGAGGAGCUUGCUCCUCUGACGUUAGCGGCGGACGGGUGAGUAACACGUGGAUAACCUACCUAUAAGACUGGGAUAACUUCGGGAAACCGGAGCUAAUACCGGAUAAUAUAUUGAACCGCAUGGUUCAAUAGUGAAAGACGGUUUUGCUGGCACGUAUAGAUGGAUCCGCGCCGCAUUAGCUAGUUGGUAAGGUAACGGCUUACCACGGCAACGAUGCGUAGCCGACCUGAGAGGGUGGUCGGCCACACUGGAACUGAGACACGGUCCAGACUCCUACGGGAGGCAGCAGUAGGGAAUCUUCCGCAAUGGGCGAAAGCCUGACGGAGCAACGCCGCGUCAGUGAUGAAGGUCUUCGGAUCGUAAAACUCUGUUAUUAGGGAAGAACAAAUGUGUAAGUAACUAUGCACGUCUUGACGGUACCUAAUCAGAAAGCCACGGCUAACUACGUG